CCUACGGGAGGCAGCAGUGAGGAAUAUUGGUCAAUGGACGAGAGUCUGAACCAGCCAAGUAGCGUGAAUGAUGACUGCCCUAUGGGUUGUAAACUUCUUUUAUAUGGGAAUAAAACGUUCCACGUGUGGGAUUUUGUAUGUACCAUAUGAAUAAGGAUCGGCUAACUCCGUGCCAGCAGCCGCGGUAAUACGGUGGAUCCGAGCGUUAUCCGGAAUUGUUGGGGUUAAAGGGAGCGUAGGUGGAUUGUUAAGUCAGUUGUGAAAGUGUGCGGCUCAACCGGAACAUUGCAGUUGAAACUGGAAGUCUAGAGUACAGGAGAGGUGAGCGGAAUUCGUGGUGUAGCGGUGAAAUGCUUAGAUAUCACGAAGAACUCCGAUGGCGAAGGCAGUUCACUGGACUGCAACUGACACUGAGGCUCGAAAGUGUGGGUAUCAAACAGGAUUAGAUACCCGUGUAGUC
rnacentral:rRNA from 1 species